GAUUUAUUUAAAUGGCCGCAGUAUUUUAACUGUGCAAAGGUAGCAUAAUCAUUAGUCUUUUAAUUGGAGGCUUGUAUGAAUGGUUGGACAAAAUAUAUGUUGUUUCAUAUAAAUUUAUAGAAUUUUAUUUUUUAGUUAAAAAGCUAAAAUUUACUUAAAAGACGAGAAGACCCUAUAGAUCUUUAUAAUUAUUAAAUUUUAUUUAUUAAGAAUAUUUUAUAUUUAAUUUAGAAAAUUAUUUUAUUGGGGUGAUAGUAAAAUUUAGCUAACUUGUAUAUAAUUAAUUACAUUGGUUUAUGAUUAGUUGAUCCAAUAAUAUUGAUUAAUAAAUUAAGUUACCUUAGGGAUAACAGCGUAAUUUUUUUAGAGAGUUCAUAUCGAUAAAAAAGAUUGCGACCUCGAUGUUGGAUUAAGAUAUAGAUUUAGGUGUAGCUGUUUAAAUAUUAAGUCUGUUCGACUUUUUAAUUCUUACAUGAUCUGAGUUCAAACCGGA
rnacentral:rRNA from 1 species